rnacentral:rRNA from 1 species
UACAGAGGUGCCAAGCGUUAGGCGGAAUUACUGGGCGUAAAGCGUGCGCAGGCGGUUCUAUAAGACAGAUGUGAAAUCCCCGGGCUCAACCUGGGAACUGCAUUUGUGACUGUAGAGCUGGAGUACGGCAGAGGGGGAUGGAAUUCCGCGUGUAGCAGUGAAAUGCGUAGAUAUGCGGAGGAACACCGAUGGCGAAGGCAAUCCCCUGGGCCUGUACUGACGCUCAUGCACGAAAGCGUGGGGAGCAAACAGG